rnacentral:rRNA from 1 species
GACGAACCGAGCGAACGUUGUUCGGAAUCACUGGGCUUAAAGGGCGCGUAGGCGGGGUCAUAAGUCUGUGGUGAAAUCCUCCGGCUCAACCGGGGAACUGCGUCUGAGACUGAUGAGCUCGAGUGCAGGAGAGGAACGCGGAAUUCCAGGUGUAGCGGUGAAAUGCGUAGAUAUCUGGAGGAACACCGGUGGCGAAGGCGGCGUUCUGGACUGCAACUGACACUGAGGAACGAAAGCCAGGGGAGCAAACGGG